UACGUAGGGUGCAAGCGUUGUCCGGAAUUAUUGGGCGUAAAGAGCUCGUAGGCGGUUUGUCGCGUCGGAUGUGAAAACCCGGGGCUCAACCCCGGGCCUGCAGCCGAUACGGGCAGACUAGAGUUCGGCAGGGGAGAGUGGAAUUCCUGGUGUAGCGGUGAAAUGCGCAGAUAUCGGGAGGAACACCAGUGGCGAAGGCGAGUCUCUGGGCCGAUACUGACGCUGAGGAGCGAAAGCGUGGGGAGCAAACAGG
rnacentral:rRNA from 1 species